AUACUCUCUGUUACAAAUUAGUGUUCAGAGUCUUUGGUGAUACUGACAUUUGGGAGUGCUUGAGUCUGGUCUACACGUGAAUAUUGAUGACAACAGUGAACUCAGAACCGUGGGCAAGCUUAUGGCCGCCGCCAAGAGCCAUCUAGAGCCACCACCUUGAGGACUGGAGGGACAGAAUUAACUUAAGGACCAAUCAGACUAGUUAAAGAGGCCCUGUCAGAACAGAGGAGCAAGAGAAACUAAGAAGAGGUCAAGAGGAGAAAGAGGAGAUGAAGAAGUGACCGAACCUUCCGUGGAUCCUCUUGCCUUGAAUCCCAGAGACCCUUCCUUAGAUCAAGGAAGGGCAAAAGGAGCAUAUAAUAUAUCAAAAUUGUACACUGUAUUAAAAGGGACUUCACUGAUCCUAUAUAGCUUCCAAAGGACCAAUAAUAGAAUGGGAUCUGCCUGAGGUGUUAACAGAUGUGAAAGGGGAUUCAACAGAGCAGA